CAAAAAAAUCUGUUCACUGCUUUUCAAGUUUAUUAGCAACUCCUGUAGGCAUGGACAAAAUAGACAUUAAAUAGAUGGGUAAGCUUGAGGGAGUGCUUUUAACCAAAGUGACUCUACCAUCCUUUGACAUAAAUAAUUUUUUCCUACCGGCUACUUUAAAAAAUCUUCCAACUGGCUAAACUUCUUUCCACUUGUUCCACAAUAACAUCCCAAGAAGAACUCACCUUAAUAUGGCGUUUGAGUGGUACUGGGGUGUUUGAAACAAUUCUUGCUUCGUUCUCUUUAUUAUUGGAUGACUGCAUUAAGCAGUCACUCUUUUUCCUUGCUAUAGGAGUUUCUUAUUCGUUGACUGGUGCUGCUUGUGCAGUUGAAGACGUGCAAGCUUCUGAAAUGUAGUUGAAGAUAUCUGUUGUUAGAUUACUCUGUGGAUGGUCAACUGAAUCACUUUCUUUUGCUUGUAAUUGAGAGCUUAAAGGAUUAUCAUAUUUGUUAGAAACAAAUUUGGAGAAGGGGAUUCAAGGAGAUGCAGCUGAUUUAACGAAGAGGAGCAUUUGGAUCAAACACAUACCCUAAAAAAAAGGGAGUUUUAUUGGUAAAUUCAUUACCAAUUUAUAUUUUUGCACUCAUUUUUUUUUAUUAGAGCUAUUACCCUUUCUUUUGUUGAAGAAGAGAAUAUAAGCUACUAUAUUGUUUUAUUUUGCUUUGUCUUAGAUGUUUCUUUAAUCUCUGUAACUCAUGGUGCUUUUGUUUCCCUGCAAGACAAUACUCUUUGUUUUUGUUGCAGUCUAGAAUCAUGUGAGCCACUUCCUUCUUUCUUUCUAAAAAAACAAAGCAUUUUGAUUAAAGCAAAAAGUUUUCUGUGCA